rnacentral:tRNA from 1 species
AUUAUUUUGGCAGAUUAGUGCUAUAAAUUUAGAAUUUAAAUAAGUAUAAUUUUAUACAAAUAAUA